AUGGCAGGGAAAAGACACAUCAAUGUCAAUACUCAAGCACAACAUGGUGUUGUACCUGGUAGAAGAGCAGAUGAAGUAGACCAGCCAUUUCCAAACAAGCCUGUUAGCCACAGAAGACCUCUCAACACCAGGAGACAAGACACACUUGAUCUGAAUGAUUUUGAAAAAAUCAAUAUUACAAAAGAACCAAAAGGCUCUUUGUCACACCAACUGCAUCCUUCAAAUGUGGAGACCACUGCAUCCCAACACCCAAGAAAAGACCCACUCAGACUGCCCAGAGGAGAGCUGCAGAUGGCCAAAGCAAUUUAUGCAAAAGAACUCAUGCUACAGGAGAAGUUGUGGAGGGUUGAAGAAAAAAUAAGACAAAAAAUCCAGACAGACUAUGGUGAUGUCCAAAAGAGUGAGGAGGAGAGGCACAGCAGGGGACAAGCUCCCACAAAGACCAGGAUGUCUGAGCUGCAGAGGAGAGAACCAAUGAGAAACAGAGAAAUGAUAAAGCAAGAGAAAAGACAGGAGGAUGUUAAACAACUUAGGAAGAGGCAAGAUCAGAGGAAUGAGGACAGAAUGAGGAAUACACAUGAAGAAGAGGGGGUCAGAUUGGCAAGAAGGGAACCAGAAGUUGCACAGAGUCCCCAGUCGCAAAGAAAAGGACGCAAAGGAACUGAUGAGAUCAUAGUUCGUGGGGAAGAAGUGAGUGGAGAGCUGAACAAAUCAAGGUGGGAGAACGUGAAAGAGCGCACCAGAAUAAAAGCAGAGGAUGAAAAAGAUAAUAGCAUUUGGGGAGGUGUGAAAGCAGAAAAGCAAAUCAAACCAGAAAACAAUACAACCUCCAUGGGCGAUAAAGUUUGGACAAGAGAAAAGAAAUACAUGGAAAGGACAUGUAAGGAGAUUUACGGUUCAGACGAAGAAGAAGACCUGCCUCAAACGAGUCAACAGAAAACGUCUCACAGAGCUGCAACAGAAAACCACAGAGGUGAAGGAAGAAAUCUGUCCGAGGAACCACUGCUUCCACCCUUUUCUAGUCCUUCUCUAUCCAGCAGACCAGAGCAGGGGGAGCUCGACCUUAAAGACAGCACAUAUGACGGCCUCCAGCUUCUUCCUUGCAGAACCUGCAACAGAAAGUUUGCACACAAAAGAUUAGAGACGCAUGUUCAAAUCUGUAAAAAGGUGAAACAGUCACAUCGUCAAGUCUUCAACUCCUACGUUAAUAGGACCAAGGGAUCUGCAAUGGAGGAGUUCUUAAAAACCCACAGCAGAAGCAAGACUCCAGAGGUAGGCCGGUAUCAUAUUUCCUUCUUUUAA
rnacentral:lncRNA from 1 species